AUGAAGAGGCUAGUAGGCACCGUGCUGGGGCUUUUGUUUGCCCAGGUUUGCUGUGUGCAAGGGGUGAAUGUGGAGCAGAGACCCCCAGCCCUGAGUCUCCAGGAGGGAGUCAACUCCAUGCUGUGGUGUAAUUUUUCCACCACCACAGAGAAUGUGCAUUGGUAUCGUCAGAACCCUGAGGGCCGCCUCAUCCACCUGUUUUCCAUUGCUUCAGGGACAAACCAGAAUGGAAGAUUAAAUGCCACGACAGUCCUCAAAGAACGCCACAGCUCAUUGUACAUUUCCUCUUCCCAGACCACAGACUCAGCCACUUACUUCUGUGCUUGUGAACAAACUGCUAGCAAAAUUGUCUUUGGAAGAGGGACUCAACUUCAUGUUCUCCCCAUUAUCCAGGACCCCAACCCCUCCGUGUACCAGCUGAGAAGCCCGAAAUCCAGCAGCACCUCUGUCUGCCUAUACACUGAUUUUAAAUAUGCAGCCAAUGUGUCUAAAGCUGAGAGGUCCACGGUGCUCAACUCAAGCAGCACCGUGCUAGACAUGGGGGCCAUAGGUUCCAAGAGCAAUGGGGUCGUGGCUUGGAGCAACAGCACUGAUUUCGAAUGUGAAGACACCUUCAACGAGACCUUCUACUCCAACUUAGGCAUUCCCUGUAAUGCCAAGUUGGUAGAGCAAAGCUUUGAAACAGAUAUGAACCUAAACUUCCAAAACCUGUCAGUGAUCGGAUUCCGAGUCCUCCUCCUGAAAGUGGUCGGGUUCAACCUGCUCAUGACGCUGCGGUUGUGGUCCAGCUGAGGUUGCCAAGAACGUGAGAGCCCCUCCUCCUCCCCUUGCUCCUCGUCACCCCGUCUCUCCGUCUUCAAGCAGAGAGGUGCACUCUCUGCCCCGGUGGACGAGAAGGCUCCCUCCGCCUCUCUGGCCCCACUGGCAAUACCACCAACUGAUGGUACCAGAUGAUACCAGAUACUGGUGAUCAAGAUGCUGAAGAGCUAUGCAGCCCUGCCGCCACCCCCUCUGUUCCCUCGCUGCUGCUUGUCACUGCCUGGCAUUCUCGGCAAAGACGGGGCGGGGGUGGGGCGCGCUGCUUCAGCCCCUCCUGGCUGUGGGGAAACUCCCUCCCCGCCGCCCAGAAACUGCCUCUGAUAUUCCACUAAAGGUUGGAUCCCAGGGGGUGCCCUUGGGCUCUAGCUCCUGGAGAAUGCUGUGUGGUGUUUAUACGGUUUAUAUAGUGUUCACAGAGAAAUACCUAUCACCCUUAUCCCCCAAGGUGUGGGGGAAAUUAUCUCAUGAUCUAGGCCCUGUGCUGCUUGUGUAUCUGAGCCACGUUGUAUAUUCUGCUGCCAUGGCUUCAAUAAAAGUGAUUUGGAA